rnacentral:misc_RNA from 1 species
UCCUUCACAAUGCAUCUGCUGCAACUUAUGACAUCCUGGGCUGUUGUUUGUGAUGUGUGGUACUUGGAGCCCCAAAAUCUGAAACAUGGAGAGACACCCAUCGAAUUUGCCGAGAGGGUCAGGGACAUAAUAUCUGUUCGAGCAGGUCUCAAAAAGGUUCCUUGGGAUGGAUAUCUGAAGUACUCUCGCCCUAGCCCAAAACAUAGAGAGCGCAAGCAACAAAGCUUUGCUGAGUCAGUACUACGACGGCUGGAGGAGAAAUGAUGUGUAUAUUUAUGCUUAGUGAUUCUUGUAUUUGACCCAAGUAGGGUCAUAGUAGCGCAUUUGACGUCCUUUUUCUUCAUAUGCUGACUUUGAUCUUUAGGAACAGUCUAAAUGAGGGUGGAAAGUGGAAAGAAUUUCUAAGAAAAUUCGAAGUCACACUUGUCAUAUUACAGGUUUUACUUUCA